rnacentral:rRNA from 1 species
CACGUAGGGCGCAAGCGUUGUCCGGAAUUAUUGGGCGUAAAGGGCGCGUAGGUGGCCCGGUCAGUUCGUGGUGAAAGCGCGGGGCUCAACCCUGCGUCGGCCAUGAAUACUGCCGCGGCUGGAGCACUGUAGAGGCAGGCGGGAUUCCGGGUGUAGCGGUGGAAUGCGUAGAGAUCCGGAAGAACACCGGUGGCGAAGGCGGCCUGCUGGGCAGUUGCUGACACUGAGGCGCGACAGCGUGGGGAGCAAACAGG